rnacentral:lncRNA from 1 species
UGAAAGAAAGUAAAUUGGAUAGAAAAUUGAAUGAAGCUAUUUCAAUAGACGUGAUGUGAUUAUAAUGAUAGAUGAAUGACAGCCCAAAGAUUAGAGAAUGCAUUCUGCUGGAAAUUUGAUGUCGCUGAUCUCCUCCAACUUAGAUCCUACUAACUUCAGCUAAUAAUAACUCACAUGGACAGUUCCCAAUAAAAAUAGCAGAGAUACAAAAAAAGGGGAAAGAAGACCCAACUCGCAUGAUUACAGGCACAUAAUGUCAAAUCCUUCACAAACUUUCCACAAUGGUAGCAGCAUUUCAAAAUGCAUAAUGAUCAGAUUACAAAGCACACAAAAUCACGAGGUCAUGAUAAUUCACUUCCCAAUAGGACUAUGAAAUCAGUUAUUUUGGUCUCAAAUUAAACUGAAACAAACUAUUUGAAAAACGGAAAUCUAAAAUAAUGGCAACUAAACCUAAGUACAUAAAAACUGAAUCAAACUGAUAGCUCAUACAGACUUCAGUCAGUUUAGUUAUUCUAUUUUUUGCUUUUUUCACUAAAUCAACCAAGCUGGAAACCUGAACUUUUUAAUCCAUAACUGAAACUGAAUGGUCCGGUUAGGUUUUUUGGUUAAAACCUUCAGCUAGCUUUUAGUGCGUCAAAAAGCCAGGUAAGGUUCAAACCAAAGAGAAGAAAACAAAUCAAAAGCAGUGCUAUUCAUCUUCAUGCCUAGAAAUGGAGAGGCACAGAGGAAGAGCAAACUGACCAGUGACAACUUUCCCAGC